UCUGACCACCUACUUUUCUCUCUUCCACAGAAACUCAAAACUCAAACAAAACCUGACACGGAACUUCAAAUUACUGCAAGAUCAACACUAAGAGGGGAAAGUAACCACAACUGCUACAUGGGCCAUCUGCACUUGGUUGCCUACGUCUUUGCUUGUCCAACGUCUUCAACUUCUUCGCGAGCGCUGUUGACCUCUCAUCUUCUACAGCAGAUUAAGAGUCAAGGGCGCUCACUCUGCUACCUAGCUGCUUCUGUCCCACUACUCUACUGAAGGAUAGCUUCGGGAUCUUGUAGCUGCUCCAGGUGCAUCGCGUGGCCGACUUAUUGUCCCCACGGGCCAUCUCGAGCAAAAUAAAUCUCUACGAGAUACUACUUUCCCGGUGUCCUCCAGCGGUAAGUAGGGGAAGCAGCACAAAAAAAAAAAACUACACGAACUUAACUAACUUCGGGUAUUUUUUCCUUUCCAGGCUCUCUUUUGUCCACCAGGCAACGGGUCCGUUGCUAACCGGCUUGAGGACUCUCCUCAGCCAGUGCCAACCUCACCC
rnacentral:lncRNA from 1 species